ensembl:misc_RNA Metazoa_SRP Metazoan signal recognition particle RNA
UCCAGGCAUGGUGGUGGGUGCUUGUAGUCUCAGCUACUCUGGAGGCUGAGGCAGGAGGAUUGCUUGAGCGCAGGAGGUCAAGGCUGCAGUGAGCUGUGAUCAUGCCACUGCACUCUAGCCUGAGCAACAGAGCAAGAUCCUGUCUUUA